rnacentral:rRNA from 1 species
UUGAUCCUGGCUCAGAAUCAACGCUGGCGGCGUGCCUAACACAUGCAAGUCGAACGCGAAAGUGGAGCAAUCCAUGAGUAGAGUGGCGAACGGGUGAGUUACACGUGGGUGACCUGCCUUCGAGUGGGGGAUAACAUCCCGAAAGGGGUUCUAAUACCGCAUGACAUCCUGCCUUUGAACAGGCGGACAUUAAAGCCGGUGAUCGCAAGACCUGGCGCUCGAAGAGGGGCCCGCGCCCGAUUAGCUAGUUGGUGAGGUAACGGCCCACCAAGGCUACGAUCGGUAUCCGGCCUGAGAGGUCGGACGGACACACUGGGACUGAGACACGGCCCAGACUCCUACGGGAGGCUGCAGUGGGGAAUUGUUCGCAAUGGGCGAAAGCCUGACGACGCAACGCCGUGUGGAGGAUGAAGACCUUCGGGUCGUAAACUCCUUUCGAUCGGGACGAAUGAUCGGUGACCUAACACGUCAUCGGAAUGACGGUACCGAGAGAAGAAGCUCCGGCUAACUCCGUGCCAGCAGCCGCGGUAAUAAGGU